UGGGGGAAUAUUGCACAAUGGGCGCAAGCCUGAUGCAGCGACGCCGCGUGCGGGAUGGAGGCCUUCGGGUUGUAAACCGCUUUUGUUCAAGGGCAAGGCACGGUCUUUGGCCGUGUUGAGUGGAUUGUUCGAAUAAGCACCGGCUAACUACGUGCC
rnacentral:rRNA from 1 species